CCUACGGGAGGCAGCAGUAGGGAAUAUUGCUCAAUGGGGGAAACCCUGAAGCAGCAACGCCGCGUGGAGGAUGAAGGUUUUCGGAUUGUAAACUCCUUUUGUUAGAGAAGAUAAUGACGGUAUCUAACGAAUAAGCACCGGCUAACUCCGUGCCAGCAGCCGCGGUAAUACGGAGGGUGCAAGCGUUACUCGGAAUCACUGUGCGUAAAGAGCGCGUAGGCGGGAUAGCAAGUCAGAUGUGAAAUCCUAUGGCUUAACCAUAGAACUGCAUUUGAAACUGUUAGUCUAGAGUAUGGGAGAGGUAGGUGGAAUUCUUGGUGUAGGGGUAAAAUGCGUAGAGAUCAAGAGGAAUACUCAUUGCGAAGGCGACCUGCUAGAACAUAACUGACGCUGAUGCGCGAAAGCGUGGGGAGCAAACAGGAUUAGAUACCCGGGUAGUC
rnacentral:rRNA from 1 species